rnacentral:tRNA from 1 species
GAAGUAGAACAAGAAACCGCUAAUUUCUAACCCUGAGGCUAAUACCACAGCUUCCCC